UACGUAGGGGGCAAGCGUUGUCCGGAUUUAUUGGGCGUAAAGAGCUUGUAGGCGGUUUGUCGCGUCUGCUGUGAAAUUUCGGGGCUCAACCCCGAACUUGCAGUGGGUACGGGCAGACUAGAGUGUGGUAGGGGAGACUGGAAUUCCUGGUGUAGCGGUGAAAUGCGCAGAUAUCAGGAGGAACACCGGUGGCGAAGGCGGGUCUCUGGGCCGAUACUGACGCUGAGGAGCGAAAGCAUGGGUAGCGAACAGG
rnacentral:rRNA from 1 species